rnacentral:rRNA from 1 species
UACGUAGGGUGCAAGCGUUAAUCGGAAUUACUGGGCGUAAGCGUGCGCAGGCGGUUUUGUAAGUCUGUCGUGAAAUCCCCCGGGCUCAACCUGGGAAUUGCGAUGGAGACUGCAAGGCUAGAAUCUGGCAGAGGGGGGUAGAAUUCCACGUGUGAGCAGUGAAAUGCGUAGAGAUGUGGAGGAACACCGAUGGCGAAGGCAGCCCCCUGGGUCAAGAUUGACGCUCAUGCACGAAAGCGUGGGGAGCAAACAGG